rnacentral:rRNA from 1 species
CAAGUCGAACGGUAAAUCUAGUGCUUGCACUAGAUACGAGUGGCGCACGGGUGCGUAACGCGUAUGCAACCUACCCUUUACUGGGGGAUAGCCCGGAGAAAUUCGGAUUAAUACCCCAUGGUAUCUUAGGAUCUCAUGGUUUUAAGAUUAAAGAUUUAUUGGUAAAGGAUGGGCAUGCGUGACAUUAGCUAGUUGGUGAGGUAACGGCUCACCAAGGCGAUGAUGUCUAGGGGUUCUGAGAGGAUGAUCCCCCACACUGGUACUGAGAUACGGACCAGACUCCUACGGGAGGCAGCAGUAGGGAAUAUUGGUCAAUGGACGGAAGUCUGAACCAGCCAUGCCGCGUGCAGGAAGACGGCCUUCUGGGUUGUAAACUGCUUUUAUCAGGGAACAAAUAGCCCAUGCGUGGGAAGUUGAGUGUACCUGAAGAAUAAGCACCGGCUAACUCCGUGCCAGCAGCCGCGGUAAUACGGAGGGUGCAAGCGUUGUCCGGAUUUAUUGGGUUUAAAGGGUGCGUAGGCGGUCGAUUAAGUCAGUGGUGAAAUCCUCCAGCUCAACUGGAGAACUGCCAUUGAAACUGGUUGACUUGAGUACAGACGAGGUAGGCGGAAUUUAUGGUGUAGCGGUGAAAUGCAUAGAUACCAUAAAGAACACCGAUAGCGAAGGCAGCUUACUAGACUGUAACUGACGCUGAGGCACGAAAGCGUGGGGAGCGAACAGGAUUAGAUACCCUGGUAGUCCACGCUGUAAACGAUGAUGACUCGAUGUGUGCGAUAUACAGUACGCGUCU